UGGCGGCGUGGUUAAGACAUGCAAGUCGAGCGCUGAUUACGGGGUAGCAAUAUCUCGUAGUUGGAGCGGCGCAAGGGUGCGUAACACGUGGGUAAUCUGCCAUGAAGUUUGGGAUAACUCGCUGAAAGGCGAGCUAAUACCGGAUGUGACGAUUGGAAGGCACCUUCUGAUCUUCAAAGUUGGGGACCGUAAGGCCUGACGCUUCAUGAUGAGCCCGCGGCCUAUCAGCUAGUUGGUGAGGUAACGGCUCACCAAGGCUAAGACGGGUAGCUGGUCUGAGAGGACGACCAGCCACACUGGAACUGAGACACGGUCCAGACACCUACGGGUGGCAGCAGUCGAGAAUUUUUCACAAUGGGGGAAACCCUGAUGGAGCGACGCCGCGUGGGGGAUGAAUGGCUUCGGCCCGUAAACCCCUGUCAUUCGCGAACAAUGCCUUUGGUAUAACACAUCAAAGGUUGAUAGUAGCGGAAGAGGAAGGGACGGCUAACUCUGUGCCAGCAGCCGCGGUAAUACAGAGGUCCCAAGCGUUGUUCGGAUUCACUGGGCGUAAAGGGUGCGUAGGCGGUCGGGUAAGUCUGAUGUGAAAUCUCGGAGCUCAACUCCGAAACUGCAUUGGAUACUAUUCGGC
rnacentral:rRNA from 1 species